UUGACUCCAUUUACCAAGAUUUGGCGGAUGGGGAACAUUGGUGCAUCGGCGUGGCCCCAAAAAACACAACUUGUUUGGACUGGGGGAGACAGAUUAAGUAAUGCAUUUCCGGUUGAAGUAGAGGUUGGUUAUCACCAUUUUUUUUUUUUGGAUGCAAGGGCUUAAUGUGUACCCCCCACCCCCCGGGUGUUUCUAGUGAAAAUUCUGCAAUUGAUUUUGGAUAUCUCUUGGGCUUUUGAUUUGUCUCUAAAACCCUUAAGUUAUUCUGUGGCAUACAGUAGAAAAUUGCUAGAUGCUGAGACUUCUCUGUUUUAUUCUUUCCUUUGUUAGUUACAAUUUUAGAAUUUGAAUUUUGCAACUAUGUAUUCAUUUUGUGUCAUGAAAUCUCUCACAGCUUUUCUUUUCCUUUUUAUGAUACAUGCUUUCUAAAUUAUUGCUUCUAAUAUUUGCCUUAGAUUAACUUUCUGGAUUUUUUUUAUGAUUUUUAUUCAUUUGCCCAAUCUCAAAGAGCAUCUUCAAUGAACCUAACCUCCCUUAUUAGGCCUUUUCAAUUAUUUUACUUUUAACUCCCCAUGUUUGUUCUAACUAUCAUGAUCCUAAGUUCUAAUUCUUUCUUGAUGAUCUUAGACAAAUAUACUUAGAAGAAUGUCUUGUAUGGGUAUGUUUAUAAAACACACAGAGAGAGGUUUCAUUUUGUUAUUGCUCAUUUUGAAUAUGUGUCUCUGCUAGCAACUUUGACCGAGGUCAAAAUUAUGUGCUCAAGUGAUAUGCAUUUAAAUCUGGAUGAGAAAUAAUUAUAGCAAUAGGCCUGCUAGUAUGAAGCUUGUAAAUACAUGGGUCUGCAAGCUAUAUCUAGUAUAGAUGUUUGUAUAGGGCCGAUCUACUUUUUAGCAUUUGUUAGUUAUUUUUCUACAUCUGUUAUUCAUUAUACUAUCUUUCCCCACUCAGUCCCUAUGUCAUCUGAGUUUUUUUUCUCCCUAAUGUUGUUGUGGCAACAUUUCUACAGGCAAAGUACGGGGACAUGCUCAGGCGGUUCAAUGCCCAAAUUGUUGACAAGGAACUGUAUCUUAAUUUUGAUGGACUGAGAGAGAAGAUCUGUUCAUUAUUCAAUUUUGUUCCUGAUACUGAGUUCACACUUACCUAUAUUGAUGAAGAUGGUGAUGUGGUGACGAUUGUUAAUGAUGAUGAUCUGCAUGAUGUGGUAAGGCAGGCCCUGAACCCCUUAAGGAUUACUGUGAAGGUGAACACUGAGCAGAAUGGCAGAGAAUAUGCUCGUUCAAGUGGGAGUUCAACUCCCUUGAGAUUGCCUAGAGUUCAGCAACCCUUCCGAAAGCUGAACGCAAACGUCUCUGAAAUUUUGAAAUCUGUGCCAGAGCCUCUAUGUGAAACUCUCUUGAAGCUUUCAACUGAGUUGUCAUCUAAAACCUCCUCCUCUGCACCAGGUAUUGCCGAGCUUGCUGUAUACUUCUCAAAGAUAGGUUUGUCCUACCUAGAUCAGCUUUCAGAGUCCAAAUCUGAAGUGCAGUCUUGUACACCAAGCGAGGUUCCUGAAAGCUCCUCAGCCGCAAGAGAAACCAAAGAUUUGAAUUCCUCCAAGCCUGAAGAGUGUUCUUUGAGAAUCAAUGAGGGCUUGCCAAAAUUUAAACCUGGGGGAGCCUUGGGAAACAAUGAGCUGAAACCGGGAAAUACAAUUGCAAGUAGCACAGACCCCUUACCUUUGGAAGUACCUGGCCUCAAAGCUGUAGAUGCAGCAAUUGGCUCUCUGAAUUUUGAUGUUGGAUACCCCAACAAUGAAUCUCUGCACGAAUCAUCACACCUGGAUCCUAAACCAAGGGUUGUGGCUGCUACUGUUGAUAAGAAGAAAAAGUUGAAGAAGAUUAUUCAAUGUUACGAAGAGGCUCCUUUGGCAUCAUCUAGUCCGCCACUUGUUGCAAAUGAUGUUCCUAUUCAAAAGGGGGUUGAUAAGCCUAGUGAGCCUCAGGUUGGACCAAAGCCUUCUAAUGUGGGUUCUUCCACUGGUAAUGCUGAUCCUACGAAAUGGGGCCAUCCAGUUGGUGGGAUAAAUUAUUUAGUAGAGAGUGGUUCUGAGAACUCUCCAGUCUCACAGUUUGGUCGUGGUUCUCUUAACAAGUCUCCACUUUUUGGAAUGCCUCUACGAAAUGAUUCAGCUGCCCCCCCAUAUUCCAGCAUCCCACCAUUAAUGAGCAUUAUUCAGAAUGAUGCCUCUGGGAGUAUUGUACAUUUGGGUGUUUCUUGCGAUGGUUGUGGGUCCCAUCCCAUAACUGGACCUAGGUUCAAGUCAAAAGUGUAAGAACUAAGACAGUGACCUUACUAACUUUCUGAUGAAUAUCUACAGAAUCUUUAUAUGUUAAACUGAUCAGUCUUUUAUUGCAGAAAAUAUAACUAUGAUCUGUGCCAAAUCUGUUUUCUUAAAAUGGGAAAUGUUUCUGAUUAUAUUAGAAUUGCUCAUGAGGGGGAUCAUCAGUACCCCACGUCUAUCAAGGAAUUGUAUGGCCAUGUAUGUAAAAUUCAUUGUCCUGUUUGUUUCUUUAUUAAGCAUUUAUCAUAUCUUUUAUUUGUUAAAUUUUAUUGCUCCUGUCUACUCUUAACACAGCAUGCUAAGGACCGGGUGAUCUUCAGUGGUUGCAAUGAUAGAAUGGGUAUAGCAAAGCUAGACAGUCGCUUCAUUCAGGAUGUGAAUAUUUUCGAUGAAACUGUGAUGGCCCCUUUGACUCCAUUUACCAAGAUUUGGCGGAUGGGGAACAUUGGUGCAUCGGCGUGGCCCCAAAAAACACAACUUGUUUGGACUGGGGGAGACAGAUUAAGUAAUGCAUUUCCGGUUGAAGUAGAGGUUGGUUAUCACCAUUUUUUUUUUUGUGCAUGGUUUCUAAUACCAGUUUGUGUAUAAUCAUCUCUUUUAUAUGGUCAGAUUCUUGUAUAAUUUUACACGUGUAUAGCAUUUGGUUUUUUUUGGCGUUUCUCAUAUUUUCUUCUACGUCUUUUUCUUCUAAAUGGUAGCAACUUGUUUGGUUAUGCUUCAUUUUCCGUUUCUACUUUUUGAUACUACUAAUUCUUAUUUCUUUUUGUCUGCAGUGAAGGAUGACACCUUGUCUUUGCAUGUAUCUUCUAUUAGUAUUAGUAGAUUUUUAUAAUAAUUAUCAUCAAAAGAAAAGAUUAAUCCUCGUGAUUUUUUUUCCAUCGCUAGAUUC
rnacentral:lncRNA from 1 species